CUCUGAAUAUGCCUGAUCUCGUCUGAUCUCGGAAGCUAAGCAGGGU
rnacentral:rRNA from 1 species